GAAUGGAUGUGCUGCUUGUGAUGGAACCAAAUGGCUUGAAGUAUAUUGGAAAAGGAUAUUUUGUCUUCUUGGCAUGUUGGCAAAGUGGAUCAAUCUUUUGAAUUCAUGAAAAUUGGCUCUAAUAUUCUACUAUUUUGUGUUCGUAAGAUGUUCGAUAUAUGGUCUGAUGAUGGUGGUCUGUCACUCUUGAAUGCUAUUAUUGCUGCUGGUUAUCUGCUUUGUUGAUGGAAAUUUCACUGCCCUUAUUUGCUGCUGGAUGCAUAAUGAUUUCAUACACUGGAAAUUGCACAUCACAAAGUUUUGCAUUAUGUUGGGUGGUUUGAGGACAUACGGUGAGACCUUAAAAUUGGUGAUAGGAAAACCUUGUUCCCCACCUUCAGGUGUGCCUGUCAAUUGAGGUGUAGAGGCUGUCUUACAAGCUGUAUGUCCUAUGUUCUGGUAAAGAAAGAUUUAAACGUGUGAGUAAAUCGGGUAAUGUUUGUUUCCAUCAAGUAUAUUAUGAAGUGAGCUAUUUUAGUGUUUCCAGUAUUAAUAUUUUUAACGUUUUGGCAGGCGCCGUAAUUGGCCUUUUGGAUACAUAGUGGAUCUGUUUGCUAAUUGGGGUAGGCUUUUAACAUAAUAAAAUUGAGAAAGCAUUUUGGACAGCAACAAGCCCUCUGGAAGUUAUCGCACUGUUAGUUACUCAUAGCUUCUGCAAGGUGAACUAAGGGAGGAUUAUGCCCAGUUUAAAAUCCUGGCAGUUAUUUAGAUACUCUUGGGGAGUCAGCAACUUUUGUCCACGAUCUUGUUCUGGUCCUCUCUUUGAUUUACUCUCUUUGGGACAAGAGCUUCCUUUCUGUUCUUCUAGUCUCCUGGCUUUUGUUGCUGAGACAUAUUUCAGUGGUCAAUAUGUGUACGAAGUUGCAGUGUUUUUCCUCUUUCAGUUCGUGGUUCUUGGUAACUGUGCCUUGCAAUCUCAAGGAUGGAUCAACCUUUCAUAAACUCUGUUUGAGACUGCGGCAUUUUCGAGUUAAAUGACUUGUCCCAGCAAUGUCAACUUGUGUUGUUGGGUGAUGAGAGUUCUCUGUCUGUGUAUCUUUUUUGUUUUUCCCAUUGGUCUAUCUUUUAUUAUUUUUCAUGUUAAUCUUUUAGACAAUGGGGGAACGGGAGUUUGGGCAAAUUUUUUUUCUUCGCGGUCCUGCUAAUGGUUGAUGCUUUACUGCUCAGAUGGCUUUGGACCUGGUGCUUGCUUAUACUUUUUGUGCUUUCCGCUAUUAGUAACUUCGUUUGUCUAGCGCAGAUAUCUGCUUGUUUAUUAUCGCUGCUGGAGUGGCUAUUGAUUUCUCUCCUCUUUUUAAUGAUGAUUCUUGGGUUCACUUUCCUGCAAAGGUUCGAUUGGAAGGACAGAGUCCCAAGUAUUUACGUAGUUUUUUGGUAUGUCAUGGCGGGUUUGGUGAGGUUUUGAUAUGUCAACUGUAGAUGAAAUUAGACUUUCAUGGAUAUAAUGCCAACAGCAAGGGCGAUUAGAUUGUGUAAUCAAAUAAUCAUUGUUGCUCCUUGUAUGUAAUUGUUCUGUGCUUGAAUAAAUGUUCUAAGUCAUUUUUUGUUGGUAAUCAUAAGAACAAUUGUAUGUUCUCCUCGCUUGCCUGCCACUAUUCUCUAAGCCCACUUAACUCCAUCCUUACCUUAUGUUCUGCAGAAAUUUUAGUUUGCAGUUUUUCUGUCUCUUCAAUGUUUUUAUGAUUGACGGUUUUGCACAAAUUGCAUUUCUUCCCGGAAAGUGGUACCUAUUGUUUGCCCGUUUGCUGUAGAAGAUAC
rnacentral:lncRNA from 1 species